AUUGAACGCUGGCGGCAGGCCUAACACAUGCAAGUCGAACGGUAACAGGAAGAAGCUUGCUUCUUUGCUGACGAGUGGCGGACGGGUGAGUAAUGUCUGGGAAACUGCCUGAUGGAGGGGGAUAACUACUGGAAACGGUAGCUAAUACCGCAUAACGUCGCAAGCCCAAAGAGGGGGACCUUCGGGCCGCCUGCCAUCGGAUGUGCCCAGAUGGGAUUAGCUAGUAGGUGGGGUAACGGCUCACCUAGGCGACGAUCCCUAGCUGGUCUGAGAGGAUGACCAGCCACACUGGAACUGAGACACGGUCCAGACUCCUACGGGAGGCAGCAGUGGGGAAUAUUGCACAAUGGGCGCAAGCCUGAUGCAGCCAUGCCGCGUGUAUGAAGAAGGCCUUCGGGUUGCAAAGUACUUUCAGCGGGGAGGAAGGGAGUAAAGUUAAUACCUGUGCUCAUUGACGUUACCCGCAGAAGAAGCACCGGCUAACUCCGUG
rnacentral:rRNA from 1 species